AUUGAACGCUGGCGGCAGGCCUGACACAUGCAAGUCGAGCGGAUGAAGGGAGCUUGCUCCUGGAUUCAGCGGCGGACGGGUGAGUAAUGCCUAGGAAUCUGCCUGGUAGUGGGGGAUAACGUCCGGAAACGGGCGCUAAUACCGCAUACGUCCUGAGGGAGAAAGUGGGGGAUCUUCAGAACUCACGCUAUCAGAUGAGCCUAGGUCGGAUUAGCUAGUUGGUGGGGUAAAGGCCUACCAAGGCGACGAUCCGUAACUGGUCUGAGAGGAUGAUCAGUCACACUGGAACUGAGACACGGUCCAGACUCCUACGGGAGGCAGCAGUGGGGAAUAUUGGACAAUGGGCGAAAGCCUGAUCCAGCCAUGCCGCGUGUGUGAAGAAGGUCUUCGGAUUGUAAAGCACUUUAAGUUGGGAGGAAGGGCAGUAAGUUAAUACCUUGCUGUUUUGACGUUACCAACAGAAUAAGCACCGGCUAACUUCGUG
rnacentral:rRNA from 1 species